ensembl:lncRNA
CAGGAAUGUCCCCUGUGUGUUGCAUGCACAUUUCUGCUGUGGUGCAUCUGGCUGCUUCGACUGUGCUGAAGUGAAGACACCAGAAGAGGGGGUCAUUCUUGACAUUAGUCUCAAAAGCUUGGGCGCUGCUGAACCAGAGUGAAAAUGGAAUAUGGCAUAUGUUUCUACCUGCCCAGGUCUACAGCAGUCUGCAAUUGAUUUGGGAGUACAGUAAGAAGUAUAUGUCUAUCUACCCCUCCUCCCAGUAUACAAUUGCCUCUAUCAUCACCAUUUAUUCAAAAGACUUUCUCUUUCCUCUGUACUUAAGUGACAAUAAAGAAAGGAAGAAAGAGAAAGAGAAGAAUUUAAGAGAAAGAAAGGAGAAAGAAAAAAAUAAAAGAAAUAAAAUGAGAAAAAGAGAAAAGAUUAAAGA